rnacentral:rRNA from 1 species
UGGGGAAUAUUGGACAAUGGGCGAAAGCCUGAUCCAGCAAUACCGCGUGUGUGAAGAAGGCCUGAGGGUUGUAAAGCACUUUUAAUCGGGAGGAACAUCUGGUGGCCAAUACCCAUCAGUCUGACAUUACCGAUAGAAAAAGCACCGGCUAACUCUGUGCCAGCAGCCGCGGUAAUACAGAGGGUGCAAGCGUUAAUCGGAAUUACUGGGCGUAAAGGGCGUGUAGGCGGAUG